rnacentral:rRNA from 1 species
CCUACGGGAGGCAGCAGUGGGGAAUAUUGCACAAUGGGGAAACCCUGAUGCAGCCACCCCCCGGGAAAGGAAAAGGGUUUCGGGUUGGAAACCUCUAACAGCCGGGGAGGAGAAAGGUACCGUACCUGACUAAGAAGCCCCCGCUAACUACGUGCCAGCCGCCGCGGUAAUACGUAGGGGGCAAGCGUUAUCCGGAAUCACUGGGUGUAAAGGGUGCGUAGGCGGUAGGGCAAGUCAGAUGUGAAAGCCCGGGGCUCAACCUCGGGAUUGCAUUUGAAACUGUCUUACUAGAGUGCAGGAGAGGAAAGCGGAAUUCCUAGUGUAGCGGUGAAAUGCGUAGAUAUUAGGAAGAACACCAGUGGCGAAGGCGGCUUUCUGGACUGUAACUGACGCUGAGGCACGAAAGCGUGGGGAGCGAACAGGAUUAGAUACCCGUGUAGUC